AGUUUGAUUCUGGCUCAGGACGAACGCUGGCGGCGUGCCUAAUACAUGCAAGUCGAGCGGACAGAUGGGAGCUUGCUCCCUGAUGUUAGCGGCGGACGGGUGAGUAACACGUGGGUAACCUGCCUGUAAGACUGGGAUAACUCCGGGAAACCGGGGCUAAUACCGGAUGGUUGUUUGAACCGCAUGGUUCAGACAUAAAAGGUGGCUUCGGCUACCACUUACAGAUGGACCCGCGGCGCAUUAGCUAGUUGGUGAGGUAACGGCUCACCAAGGCGACGAUGCGUAGCCGACCUGAGAGGGUGAUCGGCCACACUGGGACUGAGACACGGCCCAGACUCCUACGGGAGGCAGCAGUAGGGAAUCUUCCGCAAUGGACGAAAGUCUGACGGAGCAACGCCGCGUGAGUGAUGAAGGUUUUCGGAUCGUAAAGCUCUGUUGUUAGGGAAGAACAAGUGCCGUUCAAAUAGGGCGGCACCUUGACGGUACCUAACCAGAAAGCCACGGCUAACUACGUGCCAGCAGCCGCGGUAAUACGUAGGUGGCAAGCGUUGUCCGGAAUUAUUGGGCGUAAAGGGCUCGCAGGCGGUUUCUUAAGUCUGAUGUGAAAGCCCCCGGCUCAACCGGGGAGGGUCAUUGGAAACUGGGGAACUUGAGUGCAGAAGAGGAGAGUGGAAUUCCACGUGUAGCGGUGAAAUGCGUAGAGAUGUGGAGGAACACCAGUGGCGAAGGCGACUCUCUGGUCUGUAACUGACGCUGAGAGCGAAAAGCGGGGGAGCGAACAGGAUUAGAUACCCUGGGUAGUCCA
rnacentral:rRNA from 1 species